GUGGGGUAAAAUGGUGCAGGAUGGGCACUUUGAUCGAGAGAACUCCAGCAAAGGACCAAGCAUGCCAUCAUCACCUGGGGACACACAUUGUGCUGCUGUUUCUGCAGCUGCAUGGGUUGAACCACAUGGAAAAUGUACCGUGGCAUUCGCUGUUGCUUGGUCAUCUCCUCAAGUUAAAUUCAUGAAAGGGAAGUCAUACUAUAGGCGGUACACAAGGUUUUAUGGAACCUCAGAAAGGGCUGCUGUAGAUUUGGUUCAUCAUUCAUUGACAAAUUAUAAGUUGUGGGAAGAAGAAAUUGAAAAAUGG
rnacentral:misc_RNA from 1 species